GGGCGCCGCCAUCUUGCAGCACGCGCAGGGCAUGCUGGGCCUCGGCCGCCCUGCGACUACAAGCGCCUCACUGUCUCUGCGCAUGCUCGGGCGGAGCGGGAGCGGGUGUCCCGGCAUGAAGAGACUUUGACCGUAUUUUCAAUACCAAGCCUUGUGUUGGACUUCCUGAACUGCCAGUCGGAGAUUUGUGUGCAGGAGGAUUAAGAUGUGCCAUUUGUGGACAACACCUGAAAUAGAAAACUGAAACACUCCAUCUUGCUGGGAAGUCCCUGAACCUGACCAAAUGCUAUGGGCCAUCUCCCUCUCCCUGCCAGAAUAAACAAUAAAAGCUGAGAGUCCCUCUCAGACUCAAAAAAGCCAAACUUCAAAGAAGACUCUCAGACUAGCCAAGCUGCAAAGAAGACAAUGAGAAGCUGAACUGCCUGCCUAGUUUGGACCAGCAUCAUUUGGAAAGGACACUCUCCCACCUGUCAAGCUGCCUGCAGGCUGUGUAGUGCCCUCCAGGCUUCCCAGCUUUUGUGAGCUGUCACCCAUGCUGAGGUGGGCCUUGGUAAUGCAGCUGUCUUUGAGUCAUUUCUUCUCCUGUAAGUAGUCCUUCAUCCACACUCCACAAUAAAACUCACUGGUUCACCAGUUGGACUUUGAUGGUAUCAGUA